rnacentral:rRNA from 1 species
GACGAACGCUGGCGGCGUGCUUAACACAUGCAAGUCGAACGGAAAGGCCUCUUUCGGGGGGUACUCGAGUGGCGAACGGGUGAGUAACACGUGAGUAACCUGCCCUUGACUUUGGGAUAACUUCAGGAAACUGGGGCUAAUACCGGAUAGGAGCUCCUGCUGCAUGGUGGGGGUUGGACAGUUUCGGCGGUUGGGGAUGGACUCGCGGCUUAUCAGCUUGUUGGUGGGGUAGUGGCUUACCAAGGCUUUGACGGGUAGCCGGCCUGUGAGGGUGACCGGCCACAUUGGGACUGAGAUACGGCCCAGACUCCGACGGGAGGCAGCAGUGGGGAAGAUUGCACAAUGGGUGGAAGCCUGAUGCAGCAACGCCGUGUGCGGGAUGACGGCCUUCGGGUUGUAAACCGCUUUCGCUCAUGACGAAGCUUUGUGUGACGGUAGUGGGUAAAGAAGCACCGGCUAACUACGUG